rnacentral:rRNA from 1 species
GUGCCAGCAGCCGCGGUAAGACAGAGGUGCCGAGCGUUAGGCGGAAUCACUGGGCUUAAAGCGUGUGUAGGCGGACUUCUAAGUACCUUGUGAAAUCCCACGGCUCAACCGUGGAACUGCUCGGUAUACUGGUCGUCUUGAGCCACCUAGGGGCGAGCGGAACAAGCGGUGGAGCGGUGAAAUGCGUAGAUAUCGCUUGGAACGCCAACGGUGAAAACAGCUCGCUGGGGGUGUGCUGACGCUGAGACACGAAAGCCAGGGGAGCGAACGGGAUUAGAAACCCCCGUAGUCC